rnacentral:lncRNA from 1 species
AAAACACAGAAGCUUCAGAGAAAAUGAACCAAGUCUAUCGGAGAAAACCCUGAAGCUCCUAGGGUAUCUUGUGUGGCCCGGGGAUGACAACCAGUGACAUGAGAACGCGGGGUGUGGAAGAGGAGAGCACUUUGCAACACUAGGACAGAAACCACAGGACGUAUCAGGUACAACUGGUCAAGAUCUGUGCACAUUACAUGGCAGCAGUUUAAGGAGAAGAUGCUGGCUGCUGGAGAGAGAGGUCCUUGGGGAAGAAAGCGUAUCCAGACUUACAGCCCCUUCAUUGGUUUCCAGUGAGCGUGUCUGCCGUACGUUGCAUAGUUUCCAAGGGGUGUAAUGUGGCAUGCCUGCUAGGUUAGUAUAUUGCCCAGCAGGGUGUGGCACGUGUGCCUUUAUUAACAUCACACUCCUCACAUUUGGGAAGGUGAUCAUUUCUGUGAUGGCUGUGG